rnacentral:rRNA from 1 species
CCCAGACAGCCAGGAUGUUGGCUUAGAAGCAGCCAUCAUUUAAAGAAAGCGUAAUAGCUCACUGGUCGAGUCGGCCUGCGCGGAAGAUGUAACGGGGCUAAACCAUGCACCGAAGCUGCGGCAGCGAACGUAUCACUUAAAGCGAUUCAGCGGGUUACGAUUGACGGAGCGAAGCGACGUCAAAGCGUAUACAAAGUCGAGUCGGUUUAAGGAUACGUUCGUUGGGUAGGGGAGCGUUCUGUAAGCCUGUGAAGGUGGCCUGUGAGGGUUGCUGGAGGUAUCAGAAGUGCGAAUGCUGACAUAAGUAACGAUAAAGCGGGUGAAAAGCCCGCUCGCCGGAAGACCAAGGGUUCCUGUCCAACGUUAAUCGGGGCAGGGUGAGUCGACCCCUAAGGCGAGGCCGAAAGGCGUAGUCGAUGGGAAACAGGUUAAUAUUCCUGUACUUGGUGUUACUGCGAAGGGGGGACGGAGAAGGCUAUGUUGGCCGGGCGACGGUUGUCCCGGUUUAAGCGUGUAGGUGUGUGUUCCAGGUAAAUCCGGUUCACUUUAACACUGAGGCGUGAUGACGAGGCACUACGGUGCUGAAGCAACAAAUGCCCUGCUUCCAGGAAAAGCCUCUAAGCAUCAGGUAACAUCAAAUCGUACCCCAAACCGACACAGGUGGUCAGGUAGAGAAUAC